UGGCUACACUGCGGGUGCUUCGAACGCCUUCGCUGUCCUAUCAUGUCCGGGUGGAAGUAGAUACACCUACUCCUCUGCCAUGAUAGCCUCAGACGAACAGAGGAUGUUUCACAGCUGAGACUUUACCGUCAGAACUCGAUCAAGUUAAUACUUGCGUGAGGAACGUGUUGCCGCUUUAAC
rnacentral:ncRNA from 1 species